UACAGAGGUCCCAAGCGUUGUUCGGAUUCAUUGGGCGUAAGGGUGCGUAGGCGGCGCGGUAAGUCGGGUGUGAAAUCUCGGAGCUUAACUCCGAAACUGCAUUCGAUACUGCCGUGCUUGAGGACUGGAGAGGAGACUGGAAUUUACGGUGUAGCGGUGAAAUGCGCAGAUAUCAGGAAGAACACCCGUGGCGAAGGCGGCUCUCUGGGACGGUACUGACGCUGAGACGCGAAAGCGUGGGGAGCGAACAGG
rnacentral:rRNA from 1 species